UCUAUCGCGCUGUACAAGGAUAUAAAUAAAAAAGAGGGUAAUUUUGAUUAGAUUACUCGAAGUUUUCAAAUGAUUCACACAACAUUUAAAUAACCAGAUGACUUAACCAUUUUCAAAAAAUACACUGUGUGAACGAUUUUUGUUUUCAUUUGUUGAUGGAACCUGUGAUUUCCAUAGGAUCAAUUCUUUCAAUAGAAUCCGCUUUAAAUCUGUAAGACAUGUUCAACAAAGCAGAGACUAUAAACCUUAAUGCAACGAAAGUGGGAAUCAAACGAAAAGCAGAAUUGACGGAGUCCCAUCUUUCUAUUCCAUCAAAACGAGUUUCACCAUUUUUAGAAACACCAAAUGAAAGGAAAGAUGAACGAAAGAAAGUUUUAUUAAUCUCAGUUAAAAAGCUGAAACAUUUAGAUGAAGCGAAAGACUUUCUUAGAAGAACAGUUCUUGUUAAUAACGUAAGGAAACGUCUACAAAUGGAAUUUCGAGAAGAAAAUCUUCGAACUAACACAUAUGAAACAUAUUGUGGAAAGGCUUUCAGUGGUUAUGGUGUACUUAACCGCAAUUGUAUUUCCAACUCCUGUUUGUUUGACGAUCCCACCUUUAGUUGUUUUCAAGAGAAAAUCACAGAUGAUAUGACAGACACACUUAUUCAAAACGUGUUUGAUGAUCAAUCUAAUGCUAUGAUUCCGUCUUCCGACAUUGGCGAAAAGUUAGAUCAAGUGCCAGAUGAAAUUGAAAUUUCUACAGCAGACUUAGGUCUGUUAACUUCCUUCAGGUGAUAUGUCAAGUCAAGUUCUAGUGACAUGAGCGUCUCUGAUUUAGCAUCGAGAAAAGAGUAAAGGUUGAUUAAGCAAUAGAACUGAUAUGACGGAAAUGUUUGUCGAGAUAGUGACAACGGCAAUGCAAUGAGAACAGUAGUAUAAGUUUGCCGUUAUGACUGAGAAGUCAUACAGAUAGGCAAAUGUGUCAAGGAAGCAAAAGAACUAUCUAUUAUCGACCUACAACAAUGACGUAGAAAAAAAAGAAUUACACUUUGAAACCAUCGGGGAAGAGGAACUGUAUAAGCUUUUUUCGUUCUAUUUCCAUUCGUAUUUGUGUUAUAUAUGUAUACUUGUGAAAGUCUGACUUGAUGUUAUUUUCGAAAUAAAAAUGUUUAUACUAAACCAUUGAGGAAAGAAUAUAAGCCAUGUUUCAAGGUAUCCAUUGACAGUAACAGAAAGAAACAAUUUAUACGUAACGUGAAAAAAAAAUGAACUUGAAGAUGUUUGGAAAACUUGCUACACUCAAGGACUGGACCAGAAACCAUUUUCAUAUUCCUUCAACACAUUCAUGUCUGCUAUAGACAUAAAUCAUAGCAUUCACCAUCUCAAUGCUUUAUAAAUUAGCAUGAUCAGACAAACAAUGUUACAUAUCAGUUAAUUUCUUGAAGAAGUUUUACCAAAAAAAUCCAUAUUUACCGCAUUAAAAUGUCGUUCUUCACUUGCAGGAAAUACUUUGCAAUCAUACAUAUAACGCCAAUCCUGAUAAGGAGAUAUUGGCUUUUAAAUACGUGAAUGCUAGCAGAAUAGCAAAUGUGACGCAAGAAUAUCAGACUGAUAAAAGCCAAGCCUCUCCCUUUGUGCCAUUUAAUAUAACAUCAUAUCGAUCCAUUUUGCCUUUAAGUACAUUUUUAGAAUAUUUGUGACAUGUAUUUCUUUUGUUAAUCCCCCGCCACAAGUGUGUGUGUGUGUGUGGGGGGGGGGGGGGUUAUAGGAAUAAUCUCCGUCCGUCCUUCCGUAACACUUUCAUGUCCGCUCCAUAUCUCCUAAACCCCUUUUUUCAUGAAACUUGGGUCAAAUGAUCACCUCAUCAAGACGAUGUGCAGAACUCAUGAGUCGGCUUUGUCGGCUCAAGGUCAAGGUCACAACUCAAGGUCAAAGGUUUGAGUCUUCCAUUUUGUGUCCGCUCUAUAUCUCCUAAAUCCCUUGAAGGAAUUUUAUAAAAUUUGGGUCAAAAUGAUCACCUCAUCAAGACGAUGUGGAGAACUCAUAAGUCAGCCAUGGUGGCUCAAGGUCAAGGUCACAACUUAGGGUGAAAGGUUUGAUACACUGUGUUCCUUUGUUUGUUCGUUUUGUCCUUGGCUUUGUAUGUGUGCGCGUGUAUGUGUAUGUUUGUGUGUGUGUUUGUAGUGUGCGCGUCUGCGUGCUGUGGGUUUCGUUUUCGGGAGGCUGCGUUUUUGGUAUGUGGCAUUCCCUGUUUGAUAUUUGUCUUUGUUUUUUUUAGCCUUCCGUUUUGUGUCCGCUCUAUAUCUCCUAAACCCCUUGAAGGAUUUUCAUCAAACUUGGGUCAAAUGAUCACCUCAUCAAGGUGAUGUGCAUAACUUACGAAUCAGCCAUGCCGGCUCAAGGUCAAGGUCACAACUUAGGGUCAAAGGUUUGAGCCUUCCAUUUUGUGUCUGCUCUGUAUUUCCUAAUUUCCUUGAAGGAUUCAUAUGAAACUUAGGUCAAAUGAUCACCUCAUCAAAGCAAUGUGCAGAACUCAUGAGUCGGCAAUGCCGGCUCAAGGUCAAGGUCACAACUCAAGGUAAAAGGUUUUAGCCUUCCAUUUUGUGUCCGCUCUAUAUCUCCUAAACCCCUUGAAGGAAUUUUAUAAAACUUGGGUCAAAUGAUCACCUCAUCAAAACGAUGUGCAGAUGCCGGCUCAAGGUCAAGGUCACAUCUUAGGGUCAAAGGUUUGAGCCUUCCAUUUUGUGUCCACUCUGUAUCUCCUAAACCCCUUGAAGGAUUUUCAUGAAACUUUGGUCAAAUGAUCACCUCAUCAAGACGUUGUGCAGAAUUCAUGAGUCAGCCAUGUCAAUUCAAGUUCAAGGUCACUGCUUAAGGUCAAAGGUUUACCCUUUCACUAUCCAUAGCAGUGGCGGGGGAUUUAGCUGUCUUUCAGACUGCCUUGUUUUAUAAAAUUCGCAAGCAAAAUAAAUGACAUGUUAUGAAAUAUAAAAAAAACAAAUAUAUUUUGUAACAGCCCCAAUAUACAUGUUGAUUUUAAGACUCAUAAAAAUCGACUUAAACUACAUUGAUUCUUAUAAGAUAGUAACCAAACUGCUUGUAUCACAUUACACAUGAUAAUAAAUUUGGACUCAG